AUUGAACGCUGGCGGCAGGCCUAACACAUGCAAGUCGAGCGGAGCGGCGGACGGGUGAGUAAGGCCUAGGAAUCUGCCUGGUAGUGGGGGAUAACGUCCGGAAACGGGCGCUAAUACCGCAUACCAUCGGAUGUGCCCAGAUGGGAUGAGCUUGUUGGUGGGGUAACGGCUCACCAGGGCGACGAUCCCUAGCUGGUCUGAGAGGAUGACCAGCCACACUGGAACUGAGACACGGUCCUGACUCCUACGUGAGGCAGCAGGGGGGAAUAUUGUACAAUGGGCGAAAGCCUGAUCCAGCCAUGCCGCGUGUGUGAAGAAGGUCUUCGGAGUGUAAAGCACUUUAAUUUGGGAGGCGUUACCAACAGAAUAAGCACCGGCUAACUUCGUGCCAGCAGCCGCGGUAAUUC
rnacentral:rRNA from 1 species